CCUGGUUGAUCCUGCCAGUAGUCAUAUGCUUGUCUCAAAGAUUAAGCCAUGCAUGUCUAAGUGCAUGCCAAAUUAAGGUGAAACCGCGAAUGGCUCAUUAAAUCAGUUAUGGUUCCUUAGAUCGUACCCACAUUUACUUGGAUAACUGUGGUAAUUCUAGAGCUAAUACAUGCAAACCAGAGUUCCGACCAGAGAUGGAAGGAACGCUUUUAUUAGAUCAAAACCAAUCGGUGGCGGGCUUUGCUCGUCCACCGUUUACUUUGGUGACUCUGAAUAACUUUGUGCUGAUCGCACGGUCUCGUACCGGCGACGCAUCUUUCAAAUGUCUGCCUUAUCAACUGUCGAUGGUAGGUUCUGCGCCUACCAUGGUUGUAACGGGUAACGGGGAAUCAGGGUUCGAUUCCGGAGAGGGAGCCUGAGAAACGGCUACCACAUCCAAGGAAGGCAGCAGGCGCGCAAAUUACCCACUCCCGGCACGGGGAGGUAGUGACGAAAAAUAACGAUACGGGACUCAUCCGAGGCCCCGUAAUCGGAAUGAGUACACUUUAAAUCCUUUAACGAGGAUCAAUUGGAGGGCAAGUCUGGUGCCAGCAGCCGCGGUAAUUCCAGCUCCAAUAGCGUAUAUUAAAGUAGUUGCGGUUAAAAAGUUCGUAGUUGAAUCUGUGCCGCACGCUGUCGGUUCGCCGCUCGCGGUGUUUAACUGACAUGCUCGUGAGACGUCCUACCGGUGGGCUUAGCUCCUUCGGGGGCGGUCCAACUAAUAUCCCAUCGCGGUGCUCUUUAUUGAGUGUCGAGGUGGGCCGGUACGUUUACUUUGAACAAAUUAGAGUGCUUAAAGCAGGCUAUCAUUUGCCUGAAUAUUCUGUGCAUGGAAUAAUGGAAUAGGACCUCGGUUCUAUUUUGUUGGUUUUAAGAAACCCGAGGAAAUGAUUAAUAGGGACAGAUGGGGGCAUUCGUAUUGCGACGUUAGAGGUGAAAUUCUUGGAUCGUCGCAAGACGGACAGAAGCGAAAGCAUUUGCCAAAAAUGUUUUCAUUAAUCAAGAACGAAAGUUAGAGGUUCGAAGGCGAUCAGAUACCGCCCUAGUUCUAACCAUAAACGAUGCCAGCUAGCGAUCCGCCGAAGUUCCUCCGAUGACUCGGCGGGCAGCUUCCGGGAAACCAAAGCUUUUGGGUUCCGGGGGAAGUAUGGUUGCAAAGCUGAAACUUAAAGGAAUUGACGGAAGGGCACCACCAGGAGUGGAGCCUGCGGCUUAAUUUGACUCAACACGGGAAA
rnacentral:rRNA from 1 species